rnacentral:rRNA from 1 species
AGAGUUUGAUCAUGGCUCAGGAUGAACGCUGGCGGCGUGCCUAACACAUGCAAGUCGAGCGAAGCACUUUGCUUAGAUUCUUUCGGGAUGAAGAGUGAUUUGACUGAGCGGCGGACGGGUGAGUAACGCGUGGGCAACCUGCCUCACACAGGGGGAUAACAGUUAGAAAUGACUGCUAAUACCGCAUAAGACCACAGCACCGCAUGGUGCAGGGGUAAAAAUUCCGG